GGGGGUCUUACGAGUUUCACUCCCAACCCCUGUGAACAUACCUAUACGUUGCCUCGGCGGAUCAGCCCGCGCCCUGUAAAACGGGACGGCCCGCCCGAGGACCCUAAACUCUGUUUUUAGUGGAACUUCUGAGUAAAACAAACAAAUAAAUCAAAACUUUCAACAACGGAUCUCUUGGUUCUGGCAUCGAUGAAGAACGCAGCAAAAUGCGAUAAGUAAUGUGAAUUGCAGAAUUCAGUGAAUCAUCGAAUCUUUGAACGCACAUUGCGCCCGCCAGUAUUCUGGCGGGCAUGCCUGUUCGAGCGUCAUUUCAACCCUCAAGCUCAGCUUGGUGUUGGGACUCGCGGUAACCCGCGUUCCCCAAAUCGAUUGGCGGUCACGUCGAGCUUCCAUAGCGUAGUAAUCAUACACCUCGUUACUGGUAAUCGUCGCGGCCACGCCGUUAAACCCCAACUUCUGAAUGUGGCCUCGGAUCAGGAAGAAAUACCCGCUGAACUUAA
rnacentral:rRNA from 1 species